rnacentral:rRNA from 1 species
GAUGAACGCUGGCGGCGUGCCUAAUACAUGCAAGUCGAGCGAACGGACGAGAAGCUUGCUUCUCUGAUGUUAGCGGCGGACGGGUGAGUAACACGUGGAUAACCUACCUAUAAGACUGGGAUAACUUCGGGAAACCGGAGCUAAUACCGGAUAAUAUUUUGAACCGCAUGGUUCAAAAGUGAAAGACGGUCUUGCUGUCACUUAUAGAUGGAUCCGCGCUGCAUUAGCUAGUUGGUAAGGUAACGGCUUACCAAGGCAACGAUGCAUAGCCGACCUGAGAGGGUGAUCGGCCACACUGGAACUGAGACACGGUCCAGACUCCUACGGGAGGCAGCAGUAGGGAAUCUUCCGCAAUGGGCGAAAGCCUGACGGAGCAACGCCGCGUGAGUGAUGAAGGUCUUCGGAUCGUAAAACUCUGUUAUUAGGGAAGAACAUAUGUGUAAGUAACUGUGCACAUCUUGACGGUACCUAAUCAGAAAGCCACGGCUAACUACGUGCCAGCAGCCGCGGUAAUACGUAGGUGGCAAGCGUUAUCCGGAAUUAUUGGGCAUAAAGCGCGCGUAGGCGGUUUUUUAAGUCUGAUGUGAAAGCCCACGGCUCAACCGUGGAGGGUCAUUGGAAACUGGAAAACUUGAGUGCAGAAGAGGAAAGUGGAAUUCCAUGUGUAGCGGUGAAAUGCGCAGAGAUAUGGAGGAACACCAGUGGCGAAGGCGACUUUCUGGUAUGUAACUGACGCUGAUGUGCGAAAGCGUGGGGAUCAAACAGGAUUAGAUACCCUGGUAGUCCACGCCGUAAACGAUGAGUGCUAAGUGUUAGGGGGUUUCCGCCCCUUAGUGCUGCAGCUAACGCAUUAAGCACUCCGCCUGGGGAGUACGACCGCAAGGUUGAAACUCAAAGGAAUUGACGGGGACCCGCACAAGCGGUGGAGCACGUGGUUUAAUUCGAAGCAACGCGAAGAACCUUACCAAAUCUUGACAUCCUUUGACAACUCUAGAGAUAGAGCCUUCCCCUUCGGGGGACAAAGUGACAGGUGGUGCAUGGUUGUCGUCAGCUCGUGUCGUGAGAUGUUGGGUUAAGUCCCGCAACGAGCGCAACCCUUAAGCUUAGUUGCCAUCAUUAAGUUGGGCACUCUAAGUUGACUGCCGGUGACAAACCGGAGGAAGGUGGGGAUGACGUCAAAUCAUCAUGCCCCUUAUGAUUUGGGCUACACACGUGCUACAAUGGACAAUACAAAGGGCAGCGAAACCGCGAGGUCAAGCAAAUCCCAUAAAGUUGUUCUCAGUUCGGAUUGUAGUCUGCAACUCGACUACAUGAAGCUGGAAUCGCUAGUAAUCGUAGAUCAGCAUGCUACGGUGAAUACGUUCCCGGGUCU